UACGUAGGGUCCGAGCGUUGUCCGGAUUUAUUGGGCGUAAAGAGCUCGUAGGCGGUUCAGUAAGUCGGAUGUGAAAACUCAGGCUCAACCCUGAGACGCCAUCCGAUACUGCUGUGACUUGAGUCUGGUAGGGGAGAACGGAAUCCAGGUGUAGCGGUGAAAUGCGCAGAUAUCUGGAGGAACACCGAUGGCGAAGGCAGUUCUCG
rnacentral:rRNA from 1 species